AGUUGGAUAGAGCCGAGACGCGGCUGCGGGCUGACUGGAUCUUGGAGGCUUUGGAGUGUGACGGAGGUCGACAGAGGUCAAGGUAGCCAGGGCGUUCACCAGAAUAUUAGUUUCGCUCCUCUGCACAACUCCGUCUUCGGUCACAUCCUCUUCGCUCACAGAGACGCGUAGGAUGAAGCUACGUUCGCGGUUUGGUGUCUGAAGCAGGUAGAUGGGUACUGACGACGAUCAAGCCUUGACGUAUCGUUCGCUACGCAUGAAACCACCAGCUGUUUAUGUAAUGCACGCGAUGAUGUCGAGGCACGGCAAACAUGGAUGUACAACAAGUGGGAUGCUGUUCGGGUUGCGCGACUCCUCGACUCUCUGGAGUUAACUAAAUUGCCACUUGACUCGAGGGGCUGCUUCCAGCAUGAUUGUGAAAUUUGUUAGUAGCUGGAUAGUUUACGGUCAGAGUUUAGAUUGUACGGUACGUCGCGGGAUGUAAACUGCUUGGCAAAGGAUAAUUAAUUCCUGCGGAAUCGCAAUUGUACGACGAUGCAGUUCCGCCCUGUAAGCAAACGACUCGGUGGUACACGUAAGACGAGAGGUCACUUCGAGGUGGAGUAAACUCGAUGACUUGAUUGAGGAACGGUUCGAAACUGUCGGAUAGACAAACAUUUUUUAGUCGAAAUUGAAUCGUAAAAACGGUCCGCUGUGACGGCCGCUAAUUGCUUCUGUGCGGAUGGAAUUCUGGCUGCAACAUGUCGCACGAAAACUCGACGUCACCGAGUCUGAGUGGCAAUUGGUAAGAAGUGCGAGGUGGAAAAGGAUACGAAAAACAGGCGCAAGGACGCGAAAAUACGGAGAUAUAAAUGGAAGAUGGGGAAAGAGAAAAGAGCACUCGGGAAGUCCAGCAAUUUCUUGAAUAAACAACCACGCUUUCCGAGUGCACUUCUUGUACGUCUUAUCCUGCAAUUGUACUCCAUGGAAAAGUGAGAAAAAUGGAAACGGAUAAGUGAGAUACACGAAGUAAGGAAUUCGUCUUUACGCAACACCUUUCAUGUAGGAACUCCACCUUCACUUCCUGUUACCUCUCAGAGUAAUAGAAAGAGAGAGGGAGAGGAAAGGAGCACGAUCGUAAUUACACGCGGUACGUCAUCGGCCACGGUCUCAACUUGAGAUUGUUGAUCAAUUUGACGCGCUGGUGAACAAGAACAAAGGAAAACCAGAGUGCACAGCAUCAGGUGCCGGGUGUUACGUCAGAUGGUAUAAAGCAUUUGUGCGAUGACUGAGCUUUAGUCACCGGUAAAAAGGGGCUGAAUCACGAACUGCCUGACAGUUAUAAGAUUCUUCCGAAUGACGUAGAGUUCCCGGAAGAAAAACUUGGGCCGAAUACGAGAGUUCGAUAUUUGCGGGGAAAGUCGAGACUUUGGGGCGCUUUAUUAGAACUCUGAUUCACCCUCAUAACGCCGGCUCGCGAAGUUCAUCGGACUCGAUGAAUCACCCCCGGAAAUGGAUCUAUACCGAUAUUUGGUGAGAACACGGCGAAUUGCUUUACACGCAUCUCAAUCGACGGCGCCGUGAUAUUUUUUACGAUUACGCAAAGACGGCAAAAGCUUCGCAGGGAUUCUCGUAGAUGAGGUUCGCAAGAUUUAUCAAGAGUUUCAGGAAAUUGGGGAAUAAAGAUUCAACAAAUUCC